rnacentral:lncRNA from 1 species
AUAAGAAUAUCUCAUUAAGCUUUACUUUUCCUAGGGAACAAGAAGGCAGCAGGAGCUGAGCAUCUGUUUGACUUCACUUCUGGAAACUCUUUAUGGCAAUUUCUCUCUAUGAGGAGCAACGUGAAAUGCAUGGGCAUUAUUAAACCUACUCCCGGAUUCAGGACUUAUCUGGUAAGCUGACUAAAGAAUAAUUUCCCUUUUGAUUAGAGUCAAUUAUACAGAAACUUCUCAUCUCUUUGAGUUU